GUCCCCGUUGCCGGGUGUUGUUUUGCGUCCCUCCUGACGACGCCCCGCCUGGCCGCGGAUGAUGGGGGUGGUUGUCCCCUCGUUUCCAGGAGCGGCUUCGCCCCGGACGGGGAGGUGAGCCAGCAGCGCCCGUUGGCCAGGACCUCCUGCGGACCCUCUGGCUCCCCCCCGCUCGGCUCUGGCGGCAGAGGAUCCGCCCAGGCGCUCUGCACGUGCUCAGAGGCGCCCUCGCCCGCCGUGCAGAGACCCUCCUCCCGCGCCGCUAUGGGGAUCGUCAAGCUGGCCGAGGUGAUCAAGGAGGAGGCUCCGGACGCCGUGCGCCCCGCCAGCCUUCAGGACUACCGCGCUGGCGAAACGGGCCGCCUCCUCUGGAUCCAGGUGGGCCCCCGCAGAGUCCAGUGGUCCGGCACGGCCUCCAAGGCGAGACUCGGAGAGGCUUCUGACCCUCCUGGGUGUUCCUUACGUCCAGG